AUCCAGCUGACGCGUACGAAAUAGGACGAAAUGCGCAUCUUGGAU
rfam:Trichobilharzia regenti genome assembly, scaffold: TRE_scaffold0015449